CCUCAGCCUCCCAAAGUGUUAAAAUUACAGGCAUGAGCCACCACACCUGGCCUUUUUUAUUAAAAAAAAUUUUUUUUAAAUGCAAUGUUUUCUUUUUUUGUUGUUGUUUUAGCUUGUGUCUAUUCUCCAAAGCAUGUUGUACUGAUUGUGUAGUACAAUUUUAUUUAAAAAUGUAUGUUAAGAUUUACAUAAAUAUUUGGGGUGUCCAUGAAUCAAGAAAUACAUGAAAGUAUGGGCACCAAAACGUUAAAAGUGGUUUUGUUGGGAGUUCAGGGGAUUUUACUUUCUCCCUAAUACUUUAUUCUUUGAAUAUCUUGAAAUGGAUAUUUUGUAACUGUAUAAGGAGAAAGGAAGCGAAACUAUUUUUCUGCAGGGGUACACCCACAUCUAUUGUAUUAGACAAAUCACAGAGGGAUUGCAACAGAACACAGAUUUUUCUCACUGUUUUUUCUCUGGUUGAUCGGGAUGCAUUAUCCACCAGAAAACACUGUAGACGACUCACUCACCAGGAAAAGAGCAUAUGCCAGUUGGAAUAAAUAAAGGGGAAGAGUAAGGAAGAGGCUGUAGAAUUAUUUUAUAAAUUAUCAAGUCUUAUGAGCCAGGUGCAGUGGUGCAUGCCUAUGUACAGUCCCAGCUACUCAGGAGGCUGAGGUGGUAGGAUAGCUUGAGCCCAGGAGUUCGAGGGUGGAGUGUGAUAUGAUCGUCUGUGAAUAGCCACAGCACUGCAUCCUGGACAAGAUAGGGUCUCUUUAAAAAUAAGACUUAACUAGCACUUUAAUAAUCAUUGUUUUUGUUCCCAACUGCAUUGUACAUUCAUUGAGGACAGGGACUUUAAACUUCAUUAUAUUGCUGUUGCUGUGUUUCACCUUUGAAUGAUUUUUAAAUAAAAAUCUCAUCUUUGAGUCACAAUCUGA
ensembl:lncRNA novel transcript